rnacentral:rRNA from 1 species
AGAUACCCUAUUAUUGAAAAAGUAAAUAAAAAAUACUAAAAUAUUAUAUAAUUAUUUAUUGAAACUUAAAUAAUUUGGCGGUAUUUUAGUUCAUUUAGAGGAAUCUGUUUAAUAAUUGAUAAUCCACGAAUAAAUUUACUUAAUUUAAAAUUUUGUAUAUCGUUGUUAUAUAAAUAUUUUUAAAUAAUUAAUAAUAUUUAAAAAUUUAAUUAAAAAAUUAAAUUAGAUCAAGAUGCAGAUUAUAAUUAAGUAUAUAAUGGAUUACAAUAAAAAUAUUUAAGAUGAAUAUUAAUUUUU